rnacentral:lncRNA from 1 species
UCGUAGUCGAGUCGGUCUCUACAAAACGACGCCAUUUUGGGUGUCUGGGGAGGCUUGGUGAAACGACGUCGUUUCACUAGGCUAUUUAAGACAAAAAAAAUAUAAAAAAUUCAUUCUCUCCUUUCUUUUAAAAAAAAAAACAGAAAUCUCUUAAAAAAAAAGCUCUUCCCUCCCCAGCUCUCCGGCCAAGGCCCGAUCAUCGGCCACCGCGCCGGCCGUAGAUC